rnacentral:rRNA from 1 species
GAUUGAACGCUGGCGGCAGGCCUAACACAUGCAAGUCGAACGGUAACAGGAAGAAGCUUGUUUCUUUGCUGACGAGUGGCGGACGGGUGAGUAAUGUCUGGGAAACUGCCUGAUGGAGGGGGAUAACUACUGGAAACGGUAGCUAAUACCGCAUAACGUCGCAAGACCAAAGAGGGGGACCUUCGGGCCUCUUGCCAUCGGAUGUGCCCAGAUGGGAUUAGCUAGUAGGUGGGGUAACGGCUCACCUAGGCGACGAUCCCUAGCUGGUCUGAGAGGAUGACCAGCCACACUGGAACUGAGACACGGUCCAGACUCCUACGGGAGGCAGCAGUGGGGAAUAUUGCACAAUGGGCGCAAGCCUGAUGCAGCCAUGCCGCGUGUAUGAAGAAGGCCUUCGGGUUGUAAAGUACUUUCAGCGGGGAGGAAGGGAGUAAAGUUAAUACCUUUGCUCAUUGACGUUACCCGCAGAAGGAGCACCGGCUA